CCUACGGGUGGCAGCAGUGAGGAAUAUUGGUCAAUGGACGAGAGUCUGAACCAGCCAAGUAGCGUGAAGGAUGACUGCCCUAUGGGUUGUAAACUUCUUUUAUAUGGGAAUAAAAUGUUCCACGUGUGGGAUUUUGUAUGUACCAUAUGAAUAAGGACCGGCUAACUCCGUGCCAGCAGCCGCGGUAAUACGGAGGAUCCGGGCGUUAUCCGGAUUUAUUGGGUUUAAAGGGAGCGUAGGUGGAUUGUUAAGUCAGUUGUGAAAGUUUGCGGCUCAACCGUAAAAUUGCAGUUGAAACUGGCAGUCUUGAGUACAGUAGAGGUGGGCGGAAUUCGUGGUGUAGCGGUGAAAUGCUUAGAUAUCACGAAGAACUCCGAUUGCGAAGGCAGUUCACUGGACUGCAACUGACACUGAGGCUCGAAAGUGUGGGUAUCAAACAGGAUUAGAUACCCUGGUAGUC
rnacentral:rRNA from 1 species